AUGCCUCGCUCGUUCUCUGAGCCUAUGAUCCAGCCGGUCAGCGAUCCAACACGGGCUUUUGUUUCCUUUGUCGUUCCUUUAUCGACCGACCGGCCUUCUGCAUCGACUGCUCAAGCUCCCGAGCCCAUUGUACAAGUUCAAGCUCCUAUUCCACCAGUCCAGACGUCUGCUCCAUCAUCUUGUAUGUUCGCUGCAUACCCCGUCCUAGAGGACCAAGUAGGAGCUGCCAAGGAGGCCAUGAUUCAGGCAGGGCUAAUGAUGGAGCGAUUGAAAGUGGUGUAUGAUGCCAGCAAGGCCGCAUACAAUGCCAACUCUGCUCUUCAAGCUAAUGUCCAAGUAAGUGGAAUAGUAAGUUAA
rnacentral:rRNA from 1 species